rnacentral:rRNA from 1 species
UUUUUAUUGAGAGUUUGAUCCUGGCUCAGGACGAACGCUGGCGGCGUGCUUAACACAUGCAAGUCGAGCGAUGAAG